CGCCAAGGCUGCGGGGCCGACGAGUAUCCCUCGGACCUUCCGCCUCUUAAGGGCCGAUCAAGGGGUAUCAUCCAUUUGAGGCUGCUCCGGAGGACGCCUCUAAAUCCGGCUAAGACCCAAAGGCUAAGGAUAAGUUUGCCCUCCAUCCGGCUGGCUUGUCACGAAAACCAAAGGACGGAUAAGCAUGUAGAACGCCGCCAGGUGCGACGUUUGGACAGCGGUUCGAGUCCGCUCACCUCCACAA
rnacentral:tmRNA from 1 species